UCGAGCGAACGGACGAGAAGCUUGCUUCUCUGAUGUUAGCGGCGGACGGGUGAGUAACACGUGGAUAACCUACCUAUAAGACUGGGAUAACUUCGGGAAACCGGAGCUAAUACCGGAUAAUAUUUUGAACCGCAUGGUUCAAAAGUGAAAGACGGUCUUGCUGUCACUUAUAGAUGGAUCCGCGCUGCAUUAGCUAGUUGGUAAGGUAACGGCUUACCAAGGCAACGAUGCAUAGCCGACCUGAGAGGGUGAUCGGCCACACUGGAACUGAGACACGGUCCAGACUCCUACGGGAGGCGGCAGUAGGGAAUCUUCCGCAAUGGGCGAAAGCCUGACGGAGCAACGCCGCGUGAGUGAUGAAGGUCUUUGGAUCGUAAAACUCUGUUAUUAGGGAAGAACAUAUGUGUAAGUAACUGUGCACAUCUUGACGGUACCUAAUCAGAAAGCCACGGCUAACUACGUGCCAGCAGCCGCGGUAAUACGUAGGUGGCAAGCGUUAUCCGGAAUUAUUGGGCGUAAAGCGCGCGUAGGCGGUUUUUUAAGUCUGAUGUGAAAGCCCACGGCUCAACCGUGGAGGGUCAUUGGAAACUGGAAAACUUGAGUGCAGAAGAGGAAAGUGGAAUUCCAUGUGUAGCGGUGAAAUGCGCAGAGAUAUGGAGGAACACCAGUGGCGAAGGCGACUUUCUGGUCUGUAACUGACGCUGAUGUGCGAAAGCGUGGGGAUCAAACAGGAUUAGAUACCCUGGUAGUCCACGCCGUA
rnacentral:rRNA from 1 species